rnacentral:rRNA from 1 species
UGGGGAAUAUUGCACAAUGGGCGAAAGCCUGAUGCAGCAACGCCGCGUGAGGGACGACGGCCUUCGGGUUGUAAACCUCUUUUAGCAAGGAAGAAGCGAAAGUGACGGUACUUGCAGAAAAAGCGCCGGCUAACUACGUGCCAGCAGCCGCGGUAAUACGUAGGGCGCAAGCGUUAUCCGGAAUUAUUGGGCGUAAAGAGCUCGUAGGCGGUUUGUCGCGUCUGCUGUGAAAACCCGAGGCUCAACCUCGGGCCUGCAGUGGGUACGGGCAGACUAGAGUGCGGUAGGGGAGAUUGGAACUCCUGGUGUAGCGGUGGAAUGCGCAGAUAUCAGGAAGAACACCGAUGGCGAAGGCAGAUCUCUGGGCCGUAACUGACGCUGAGGAGCGAAAGGGUGGGGAGCAAACAGGCUUAGAUACCCUGGUAGUCCACCCGUAAACGUUGGAACUAGUUGUGGGUCCAUUCCACGGAUUCCGUGACGCAGCUAACGCAUUAAGUU